UUGGUUAAGUUAGAAAGGGCGCACGGUGGAUGCCUUGGCACUAGGAGCCGAAGAAGGACGGGACUAACACCGAUAUGCUUUGGGGAGCUGUACGUAAGCGUUGAUCCAGAGAUUUCCGAAUGGGGGAACCCACUAUCUUUAGUCGGAUAGUAUCCUUACGUGAAUACAUAGCGUGAGGAAGGCAGACCCAGGGAACUGAAACAUCUAAGUACCUGGAGGAAGAGAAAGAAAAAUCGAUUUCCUGAGUAGCGGCGAGCGAAACGGAAAGAGCCCAAACCAAGAAGCUUGCUUCUUGGGGUUGUAGGACACUCUAUACGGAGUUACAAAAGAAAGUUAUAAAUGAAGCGGUCUGGAAAGGCCCGCCAAAGACGGUAACAGCCCGGUAGUUGAAAUGGCUUUCCCUCCAGAGUGGAUCCUGAGUACGGCGGAACACGUGAAAUUCCGUCGGAAUCCGGGAGGACCAUCUCCCAAGGCUAAAUACUCCCUAGUGACCGAUAGUGAACCAGUACCGUGAGGGAAAGGUGAAAAGCACCCCGGAAGGGGAGUGAAACAGUUCCUGAAACCGUGUGCCUACAAGUAGUUAGAGCCCGUUAAUGGGUGAUAGCGUGCCUUUUGUAGAAUGAACCGGCGAGUUACGAUUUGUUGCAAGGUUAAGCGGAAAAAGCGGAGCCGUAGCGAAAGCGAGUCUGAAUAGGGCGCAUAAGUAACAGGUCGUAGACCCGAAACCAGGUGAUCUACCCAUGUCCAGGAUGAAGGUAAGGUAAUACUUACUGGAGGUCCGAACCCACGCACGUUGAAAAGUGCGGGGAUGAGGUGUGGGUAGCGGAGAAAUUCCAAUCGAACUUGGAGAUAGCUGGUUCUCUCCGAAAUAGCUUUAGGGCUAGCCUCGAGGUAAAGAGUCAUGGAGGUAGAGCACUGUUUGGACUAGGGGCCCUUCUCGGGUUACCGAAUUCAGAUAAACUCCGAAUGCCAUGUACUUAUACUCGGGAGUCAGACUGCGAGUGAUAAGAUCCGUAGUCGAAAGGGAAACAGCCCAGACCACCAGUUAAGGUCCCCAAAUAUAUGUUAAGUGGAAAAGGAUGUGGGGUUGCUUAGACAACCAGGAUGUUGGCUUAGAAGCAGCCACCAUUGAAAGAGUGCGUAAUAGCUCACUGGUCGAGUGACCCCGCGCCGAAAAUGUACCGGGGCUAAACAUAUUACCGAAACUGUGGAUGAACCUCUUUAGAGGUUCGUGGUAGGAGAGCGUUCUAAGGGCGGUGAAGUCAGACCGGAAGGACUGGUGGAGCGCUUAGAAGUGAGAAUGCCGGUAUGAGUAGCGAAAGAAGGGUGAGAAUCCCUUCCACCGAAUAUCUAAGGUUUCCUGAGGAAGGCUCGUCCGCUCAGGGUUAGUCGGGACCUAAGCCGAGGCCGAUAGGCGUAGGCGAUGGACAACAGGUAGAGAUUCCUGUACCAGUGCUAAUUGUUUAACCGAUGGGGUGACACAGAAGGAUAGGGAAUC
rnacentral:rRNA from 1 species